rnacentral:rRNA from 1 species
UGGGGAAUAUUGCACAAUGGAGGGAACUCUGAUGCAGCGACGCCGCGUGAGUGAUGAAGGAUUUCGUUUCGUAAAACUCUGUUCUAUGGGAAGAAAAGGACUGUACCAUAGGAGAAAGCUCCGGCUAAAUACGUGCCAGCAGCCGCGGUAAUACGUAUGGAGCGAGCGUUGUCCGGAAUUAUUGGGCGUAAAGGGUGCGCAGGCGGCUUUACAAGUUGGAUGUGAAAUAUUGUGGCUCAACCACAAACGUGCAUCCAAAACUGCAAAGCUUGAGUUAAGGAGAGGUAAGUGGAAUUCCUGGUGUAGCGGUGGAAUGCGUAGAUAUCAGGAGGAAUACCGGUGGCGAAGGCGACUUACUGGACUUAAACUGACGCUCAGGCACGAAAGCGUGGGGAGCAAACAGG